CUCCUUAAUGCCUUGCCAGCUGGAAGGAAAAGAGCCUCUUGCAUUGCCCACAAAGGAAGCAGAGAUUGAGGGGAGAAGAACUGGAGAAAUUAAAAAAGUGGAAAGAGACAGCAACACAAAUAAAGAGGUUGAGUACCAGUAGAAACCUCAUAUUUACCUGGAAGAUUACUUUUAGGAAGCUUGAAGAAUUCUCUCUUCCAACUUGGUUAAUCUGAGUUCUGUGGCACCUACAAGAGAAAUGGCUGCUUAUAUGUGACAACCUGCAGAUCUGAGCAGCAGGGGAACAAAGGCAGGGCCAACACAAUGGCACUGGUCCCGUUGAGUCCUGGGGAGUCCUCAGCUUUCAGGAGUCCCCUGAAUAUGGGGCAACCCCACAGGGAUUUCCUGUAAGAUUUUAAAUGAAGAAAGUCUUCUACUGCUGUAUAAAGAAAAAAAAAAGAAGAAGAAAGGGAUGGAUCUCACUAUGUUGCCAAGGCUGGCUCGAGAACUCCUGGGCUCAACCAAUCCUCCUGCCUCAGCCUCCCAAAUAGCUGGGACUACAGGUGUGUGCCGCCACUCUCCCCUUUUUAUUGGAAGAGAGUUCAUAGAGGACUGAGCACCUAUUUAGUAUAUGUUUCUAGGUUUGGUUACAAUUUGUUAAGAAAAGUAGAUUUGCAAACUCACUACUUUUGAAAUAUUAAAAAUACAUGCCAUGAAUUUCUACUUCAGCACAGAUUUGGACAACCACCUUAUGUAUGGAAAGAAAAUUUACUGAAUUUAGUGCUAGGCAUAGAUGAGAAUUUCUACUUGAAAAAAGCCCUUAAAACUUUUCCUGCUGUACUGUUCAAUUAUUAAUAUAUUUAAUGCACAGACGCAGUUCACAAUGUGGACUGAUGUGAACUUGUGUUGCAUUGGCUUUAUAAAUUAGGACAGUUGAUUUUACUUAUCCUCCUGAUUUGCCCAGAUAUGAUCUCUAUAAAAAAUCACAGAAAUUUUUGUAAAAUAAUCUUGCAGUUCUUGUUUUUGCUCUUUUUCUUAUUUUUUUCUCAACAAAAAAUUAUUUCUGAUGUUCUAUUUUCACUUAAAUGAAAACAUUCCAUGGAAGAAGUACAAAGAAGUAAUGCUUUGAAAUGACAGUCCCUGAAUUUUCAAGAAAGCCAGAUUCUUCCACAUCCAUAGUCUUCCUUUGUCCUGUUAAUAAUCCUCAUGAUGAGAGGAAAGUUACUGCCUAGUGUUUUAUGACUGGGAGAAUGGAGUAACAAGAAUCUAAGUGGUCAGAAGUAGAGAUUGUCAAGAAUACAGGCUCUCAGGUUUUGGUGUCUGUGCUCCAUCAGCCAAACUUUGCCCUUUUCUAGAAAAGACCCAAGUGGUGAAGUCACUAAUUUUGUCAUUGUUAUUAUGUACUGGAGAAAAAUUAAAUGAUCCACCUCUUUAUCAUAUACUGAACUUUCAUGAUAAGUAACACAUGUGGAGUAACCAAGGCUUAGCCAACUAGGGAUUAAUGUUAGAAAAUGAAUUUUGCUUUCUCUAUACUUGUUUAGAAAUAGCAAAAGUUCUGUAAGGGGAUGGCUAGGGGCCAAUGGGAGAGGUGAAGGACCUUUAUCACAGUAUUUGUUUGGUCCCCAUCAAAGUUCCUGGGUGCCAUGGAAAAGUGUUUUUCUUUUCUGGACCCUUUACUUCAUCUGCAAAAUGGUGAGGCAGUUAAACUCUCUGGCUUGCUUUUAUCUUACAGGCAUUCAGUGAGGUAUAUAACCUGCAAUAUUUCUUAAAAGUUGUAUAGGUUUUGCUGACCUGAAUUCUUUCAUGUUCUUCUUCAUCCUACAUGUGUAACUAUUCCAUGUUAUCGGUCCCCACGAUGAAAGAUAAUGGUGAGUUACUUGGUGAGGUUUUCAUUGUUUUCAUCAGAAAAAUAAUUUGGGCUGGAGCUGUGGAGAACAAGUGUUGUGUUUUUAACAUGGACAAAAAAGAUCAUGGGAUAUGAUUUCCCGUGCAAAGACCAUUUUUCCAGCAAUAUAUCAUACCUCUUUUCUCCUGUGUGCGCAAAAGGACCUUCCUUCAUUAUGUGUUAGAAGGUGCAUAACUCCAAAAGAGAUGGAGUUAGAUGAAAAAGAGCUAUUCUGAACUCUACUGAUUAAAAUAAAUGUGCUCAUAAAAAAGGCAGGAGAGUAAAUUACUACAUCCCCAGAACAGCAGUAACUUAUAUACCAACAAGUUAUUUUCGAGUUGCCAGAGGAAAUAAUCUGCUAUCAACAAGGGGUAAUUGCCUGAGCAAACUCAUCUUUACAUCUCACGCACGCUGUCACCUUGUAUAAAAAAGGAGAAAUGCACUACAUAUCAAUUCAGAAAAGAUUUUCUAAAAUAUUUUUUCUGAAGAUUUCUUCCUUCUCCUAGGCAACUAAAAAGAGAGAACAUGAAUACAGUUCAGAACACAUCUAAUCUUGCUCCUGCCUUAUCACUGAGCAGCAUCGGAACACACCACAGAUUGGAUUCCACACCUCAGAGGCCUAGGGGCAAGAUGAGAAAGGAUCUAUUUAGAUGGGUAUAGAAAUUCCAAUCAGAUUUACCUACAACUGCCACAGGAGAGACAGGCCAGCUACAAAACCCUCCAGGAUACAUAUUGCUAUCAUUAGCAAGAAAUAUCAAUGCGAUGUGUAUAUUCAGUUUUACAGAGAAUAACAAAGGCAGAAAAACAGAGGCAGGAAAAAGGAGGGAAAGGGUGUUAAGCAGGACAGAGAGAAAGGAGGUCUCUUUUUG
rnacentral:lncRNA from 1 species